rnacentral:lncRNA from 1 species
AUUAAAUCGGGUACGUUUUUUAUCCAGCCGUGUCAAUACUGCCCCCUAGCCCUAACAGGUUUUAACCUGUUUCAAAUGAUGAGAGCAAACAUGUUGUUGAAGGUGGGAAGGAGAAAGUCUGAGAAUGGAUAGAAGAAACAAUGUGAGAGGACGAGUGUGUAUGCGAGGUAGGCGACGAGGAGGAAGAGGAGGAGGAGGAGGGCGAGAAAUAGGAAGAGGAGGACGAAGAGGAAGACAAAGAGUGGAAAUAUCUGAUGGAAUUCGAGCAACAGUUAUAGACCAUGUUCUUGUCCAUGGACUGACAGUAUGGGAAGCAGGACACGUCCUGACCAGUAGAGGGAGUAUUUGUAUUGUAGUUUGGUCAGGACGUGGCAGAAGGGUAUUUGUUUCAUAUGGUUCGGGUUGUGUGUGUAGUAUUAAAGGGGUGUUUGAUUUAUGUAUUCCGGGGUUUUAGUGUAUGUUCUGGUUUUGGUUUUCUAGGGUUUUCUGGUUUGUCUAUUUCUUUGUUGUUUGUGUGGCUCACAAUCAGGAACAGCUGUACGUUGUUGUUCCUGAUUGGGAGUCAUAUAUUAGGAGCUUGUUUUCACCUGGGGUUUUUGUGGGUAGUUAUCUUUUGCACUGCUAGUUAUAUUUAGCCUGCGAAACUGUCAUCUGUCUGUCUUUCUUUGUUUUUUCCCGUGUUCUCUUUAUUUAAUAAAUACAAGAUGAGCAUUCAUAUUCCCGCUGCGCCUUGGUCAUCUCUACACAAUGACAGCCGUUACAUUGAGCCGAUUUUCUGUGUCCACCAUAGUAUGGACAUUCAGAGAAGAGAACAGGUAGAGUAUACUACUGUAUUUUUGUAAUUGCAAAUUUACUGUAUUACACUAUGCUAUUGUUUCAACAAACAUUUGUAAAGUUAAUCACUGUAUGUAUUGUACUGCAUGAAUAUGUUUUCUAACUGCACUACUACUUUUUGUAGAAUUGCAAGGCUGCCACAUGCAGGUGGAAGGACAGCUAUAUUCACUCGGGAGCAAGAGGCCGUUAUAGUUGGCAUGGUCCUUCAAGAUAAUGCAAUAAGACUCAGAGAAAUCCAGGAACGAGUGAUACAAGACAACACACACUUCCAGGGAAUCGACAGUGUGAGCAUUUCCACAAUUGACCGUGUCCUCCAUCGUAAUAGGAUGCGAAUGAAACAAGUAUACAGAGUACCUUUUGAGCGCAACUCACCAAGGGUGAAAGAACUGCGAGCUCAGUAUGUGCAAGCAAUAUUUGACUUGGAAUCCUUGGACAGACCCCAUGAGUUCAUCUUUGUCGGUGAAGCAGGCUUCAAUCUAACAAAGAGGAGAAGGAGAGGCCGAAACAUGAUUGGACAGAGGGCCAUUGUUGAAGUCCCUGGUCAACGAGGUGGCAAUGUCACAAUCUGUGCUGCUAUCAGCAACCAUGGUGUUCUACAUCACCAUGUUACACUCGGGCCAUAUAACACCCAGCACCUUCUAAGAUUUAUUGCCAAUCUAAGAGAUAUUUUAUUUGAGCAGCAGGGUCAAGAGUUAAAUGAGAAUCCCAUUCCCACCUAUGUGAUAGUGUGGGACAAUGUCAGUUUCCACUGAGCUGCUCAGGUAAGGGAAUGGUUUAACAUCAAUGGGCAGUUUAUGAACUUGUAC